GGCGUGCUAAUACAUGCAAGUCGAACGAGUUCUCGUUGAUGAUCGGUGCUUGCACCGAGAUUCAACAUGGAACGAGUGGCGGACGGGUGAGUAACACGUGGGUAACCUGCCCUUAAGUGGGGGAUAACAUUUGGAAACAGAUGCUAAUACCGCAUAGAUCCAAGAACCGCAUGGUUCUUGGCUGAAAGAUGGCGUAAGCUAUCGCUUUUGGAUGGACCCGCGGCGUAUUAGCUAGUUGGUGAGGUAAUGGCUCACCAAGGCGAUGAUACGUAGCCGAACUGAGAGGUUGAUCGGCCACAUUGGGACUGAGACACGGCCCAAACUCCUACGGGAGGCAGCAGUAGGGAAUCUUCCACAAUGGACGCAAGUCUGAUGGAGCAACGCCGCGUGAGUGAAGAAGGCUUUCGGGUCGUAAAACUCUGUUGUUGGAGAAGAAUGGUCGGCAGAGUAACUGUUGUCGGCGUGACGGUAUCCAACCAGAAAGCCACGGCUAACUACGUGCCAGCAGCCGCGGUAAUACGUAGGUGGCAAGCGUUAUCCGGAUUUAUUGGGCGUAAAGCGAGCGCAGGCGGUUUUUUAAGUCUGAUGUGAAAGCCCUCGGCUUAACCGAGGAAGCGCAUCGGAAACUGGGAAACUUGAGUGCAGAAGAGGACAGUGGAACUCCAUGUGUAGCGGUGAAAUGCGUAGAUAUAUGGAAGAACACCAGUGGCGAAGGCGGCUGUCUGGUCUGUAACUGACGCUGAGGCUCGAAAGCAUGGGUAGCGAACAGGAUUAGAUACCCUGGUAGUCCAUGCCGUAAACGAUGAAUGCUAGGUGUUGGAGGGUUUCCGCCCUUCAGUGCCGCAGCUAACGCAUUAAGCAUUCCGCCUGGGGAGUACGACCGCAAGGUUGAAACUCAAAGGAAUUGACGGGGGCCCGCACAAGCGGUGGAGCAUGUGGUUUAAUUCGAAGCAACGCGAAGAACCUUACCAGGUCUUGACAUCUUUUGAUCACCUGAGAGAUCAGGCUUCCCCUUCGGGGGCAAAAUGACAGGUGGUGCAUGGUUGUCGUCAGCUCGUGUCGUGAGAUGUUGGGUUAAGUCCCGCAACGAGCGCAACCCUUAUGACUAGUUGCCAGCAUUUAGUUGGGCACUCUAGUAAGACUGCCGGUGACAAACCGGAGGAAGGUGGGGAUGACGUCAAAUCAUCAUGCCCCUUAUGACCUGGGCUACACACGUGCUACAAUGGAUGGUACAACGAGUUGCGAGACCGCGAGGUCAAGCUAAUCUCUUAAAGCCAUUCUCAGUUCGGACUGUAGGCUGCAACUCGCCUACACGAAGUCGGAAUCGCUAGUAAUCGCGGAUCAGCACGCCGCGGUGAAUACGUUCCCGGGCCUUGUACACACCGCCCGUCACACCAUGAGAGUUUGUAACACCCGAAGCCGGUGGCGUACCCUUUUAGGGAGCGAGCCGUCUAAG
rnacentral:rRNA from 2 species